rnacentral:lncRNA from 1 species
CUCAAGUAGAAAUCAAUAGAAAUUGUAAUUCACAGAAAAUAUAAAUUAUUCUUAAAAAAUAACUUUCCACUAUUUUUUGGUAGAAUAAUAAUAUAUGAAUCUUAUGUUAAAACUGUGUAAAUCGUUAUACUAGUUAGAAGAGUCCUAAUUGAAUAAGGGCAACACAAAAUAAUAUUUAUUUAAUAGAAAACACUCCCCUAGCCUAACUAGGAGACUAAUAUUUACUAGGGUGUGUCGUCUCUCUUAUAUUAAGUUCAAUUAUAUAUGUUUUAUAGACUUUUACCCUGCAUUUUAUAAUUUAAUUCAACCCAAUAUUAGUUUUCUAUUUCCCAAAAUAAAUAUUAUUUAUUUACUUAAUUUAAUUAAUCAAAUUAACUAAAUUAGUUUCUCAAUUUAAUAAUUUUCUCAACUCAAUUCUAAUUUCAUUAAAGUCAUGACAACUUUAUCGUAUUAAGAAGAGGAGGAAAUUCUACAGAUCCAGACUGAACCUAGCAUGCAAAAAGAAGGGGAGGAUUUUCAGCUUGUAGGUUGCUUCUUAACAACAAGCAUAAUCCACUUUCCUGCUAUGAGA